CGACCUGCUGCGGGCAGAUCCAGUGGAUGUGGGCGUCGAUACCGCCGGCGGUGAGGAUCAGGCCUUCGCCGGCGAUGGCUUCCGUGCCGGGACCGACGACGAUGUCGACGCCGGGCUGGACGUCGGGAUUGCCGGCCUUGCCGAUGGCGGCGAUGCGGCCGUCCUUCAGGCCGACAUCGGCCUUGACGAUCCCCCAGUGGUCGACGAUCAGGGCGUUGGUGAUGACGGUGUCGACGGCGCCUUCGGCCCGCGAGACCUGGGACUGGCCCAUGCCGUCGCG
rnacentral:sRNA from 1 species